UGCGUCUCGACUCAGAGGUUAGAUCUCCAUGGCGUGUUGCUUCCACCAUUCUAACAAUAAUCGUUGCAACAACUCCGUUAUGGAUGUCUAUGGGAUUAUAAGAAUCGAUCUGAUUGUUAUCGUCACAAACCCUCCUUCAUAAACAGAUUUGCCUCCUCUCUCUCUCUCUCUCUGUUUCUCCCGAAUUCCCGGGAAACUCGAGAUCGUACCUGCUCCGGAGCAUUGCUACUGUGAAUCAACACGGGAAAUAUACUCCGCUUGGAACGCCUCCAUUUGACUGUGAAGGAUUCUUGUAGCACAACCGGUAACCAUUGACAACCGUACGAAUCUUAACUCUUAAUGAUUUCGCAGCUGAGGUCUUUGUGGAGGCUGGUUGACAAAGAAGCAGUGAAGCCCUGGACAAACAAAAGCAUAACCGCAGUUCAGGUAGUACCAAGGUAACUUGGAGCACCAAUGGAACCGAACACGCCAAUGACAAAACUAAGGAAGGCGGAAAAUGGGAAGAACUCAUGACACCCACAACAAAACACAUGUAAACAAUGACUUAGAAGUAUCAUAUCAUCUUCAUCUUGGUUGUUUUUGUUAGUUUGUGUUUUAGAACUCGCAAGUCAUAGAUCUUUACAUUUUUUAUUUUAUUUUUUCACAUGUAUUGUUCUAUCUAAGCACAUUUCCUCCAUAUAUUGUGAGUUCAUAGAAAUUUGUAAAUUUU
rnacentral:lncRNA from 1 species